AUGUUUUUGAUUCAACAGCUUCCCCUGGAAAUCCUCAGGGAAGUUAUUUUGUCAGUGGGUGACUCUGCAUAUUUGACACUUUCUCUGGUUUGCAGAUGGUUUAGGGAUGUGCUCCGGAAAGUUUUUCGGAAUGCGGCACACUUUGCCUGGCUAGACAUUGUGGCCAACUGGAAGAAUUGUCCUCCUGUCUACCGGAGCGAGUUCAGACGGAUGUACGGCAUCAGGGAAAGCUUGCAGUGCAGAGCCCUUUUCAAGUUUAACCCACCAGGGUACAGGGAAGAGGCCGGCGUGGUGAUCUUCUGGGCUUUUUUUUACACAGGAUUUUGUUCCAAGGACUGAAACACAUUUGUGUGUUAAGUUCAUUGAAGGGAAAUAGAGAAUGAACUGAGAUCAGGUUGUUUUGUAUUAAUUGAUGUCAUUUAAAGUUAAACUUUGCAGUGUAUAAUGUUUUAAUAAAAAAUCUAUGGCAAACACGUGCAUGACAACAGGUUUCAGUCAUUUACAUCAGUCUAUCGUUCUUUAAGGUUUCUCAUAUUUGAUGGUAACAUCAUUUGCUAUGCAUUGCUCAUAAUGAAUUCUUAAAUUAGUUGUGACAGGAUUGUGAGGAUUAAUGAGGUUUCGGUAGUGCAGUUCAGAAAACAAAUAACAGAAAGUAACAAGUGUUUUUUGGGCAAGUUCUUUAGAACCUGUAUAGUUUCUUCCUUGCAAAAAGUAACCAUGGAUUUAUUGUAGUAAAAAUAUUUGUUGGCAUAUUAAUUACCAUGUGCUGCAUUUAUAAAAACACCAUAGUUUAACUAUAGUUAUUGUAGCAGAACCAUGGUAAAUUUUCGUAGGGGCUAAGGGAAUGUUCAGAAUAUUAUUGGUGACAUUCAGAGACUGGUGACAAUUUGUUACACAUAUACAUAUAUACAGUAUAUAUAUAUAUAUAUAUAUAUAUAAUGUGUGUGUGUGUGUGUAUAUAUAAUUUGAAUAUAUAAAUCAAGGUACUCCAUGACUAUCUACAUAACCAUACUUCGCAUUAUAUUGCCGUGUCAUUUUCAAACCAGCGAGUAAUGCCGAGGUAGCGUCUACAGCCACUGAGGGAGUAGACCAUUUAUUUCUAUUCUGUUAGUUGUAAUCCAAAACUCUUUGUAUUUAUAUGGGAUGUUGUGGAAAUGCAACAAUAAAUGCAAAAACACAACAUUUAUAUUCACUUUUUAAUUUAUAUUAACAGUUUAUUCAUCUGAGUGUCUACUUCCACAUUCCAAUCCUGCUAACAGCGUCAUAAUUAUCUAUACCAAUAAGCUGUAAAAUCGUCAGUCAUCUGUACACCAAUAAGCUCAUCUUAAUCAUAAACCAAUAACCGCUGAGGUGGGCGGGGCGACACGUGUCGCUCCACCCCAACGUGUCGCCCCGCCCCAUCGUCCAGACUGCACUCUGGGCUACUUGGAUGGGUUUGUCUCAUUCUUUUCAUGCAACCAUACAAACUACCACUACAUGGAGCUAUGGUUUUAAAAAAAAGAAGGAUAACUAUAAAGAUAACGAUAUCAGCGUCCACACCAGCGAACGAUAUCGUCUGUUUAUUGUAAGCGCACGUGCCUCUGCCACUUUAAAUUCUCGAGCUCGUUAUAGCACGAUGGAUUCUGAUUGGCUGUCAAUGUGCGUAUCAUUCAUCAGCUGGAAAAAAAUCGUUCUGAAAAUGAUUCCAACGAUACCGUUUCUCUAUGCCUUCGUUAUAGUUGUAGUGUGGACUCUGCUAUUCUUUAUUAUUGAGAACGAUUUUUAAAACUAUAUCUUUAUCGUUAUCUUUAUAGUUAUCGUGCUUGGUGUGAACGGGUCUUUACAGUGUGAACCAGCCACAAACAACCACCGACAUCUGAAAGAUGAAAUAGAGCAACUUAAAUACAGAGCAAAUUAAGGAACA
rnacentral:lncRNA from 1 species